rnacentral:tRNA from 1 species
GGGGUUGUAGCUCAGUGGUAGAGUGCUUGCUUUGCAUGCAUGAGGCACUAUGUUGGAUCCUCAGCACCA